AUUGAACGCUGGCGGCAGGCCUAACACAUGCAAGUCGAACGAGUGGCGGACGGGUGAGUAAUGUCUGGGAAACUGCCUGAUGGAGGGGGAUAACUACUGGAAACGGUAGCUAAUACCGCAUACCAUCGGAUGUGCCCAGAUGGGAUUAGCUAGUAGGUGGGGUAACGGCUCACCUAGGCGACGAUCCCUAGCUGGUCUGAGAGGAUGACAAGCCACACGUGAACUGAGACACGGUCCAGACUCCUACGUGAGGCAGCAGUGGGGAAUAUUGCACAAUGGGCGAAAGGCUGAUGCAGCCAUGCGGCGGGUAUGAAGAAGGCCGUCGGGUUGUAAAGUACUGUCAGCGGGGAGGCGUUACCCGCAGAAGAAGCACCGGCUAACUCCGUGCCAGCAGCCGCGGUAAUAC
rnacentral:rRNA from 1 species